AUGUCAGACCUGAGCACAGUAGUGGAUUUAACCUACUGUCAUAAUUCUGUUUUAAUGGAAAAAUCCUGUGUCCCACUAUGUCUUUACAUAAAAUGGAUAAGUACGUUGAAGAUGUCUUCCCAGAGCAUUUUCUCAGGAUUCAGCUUCAUCUCGGGGCUUAUCUGCCACAAAACCCUGACCGCCCGCUGUGGAAAAUUCCCUGAACCAAAAUGUGACAGACGGCCCUGAGAGACAGAAGCAUAGUGAGAGGAGGAGGGGUUGGUUGAGAAAAAAGCAAGCCUACUGUGUCUGACACAUGACAUUCAAAGACAGAGAAUAGGAGAAGAAAAAAGGAAAAUGCCACAGCCGGGAUAAUGAAAAGACAUGGGAAGAAGGGCAACUACUGAUGCUGGUUUUUGUCUCUACUGUUUGGUAUUCUACUUUGUUUCUCAUAAGAAUUAAUAAAAGACCUUU